rnacentral:tRNA from 1 species
GCAAUUAUGGCGAAAUUGGUAGACGCGUAUUAUUUAGGUUAAUGUGACACCAGUCUUUUGAGUUCAAGUCUCAAUAAUUGUA